CCUACGGGCGGCAGCAGUGGGGAAUAUUGCACAAUGGGGGAAACCCUGAUGCAGCGACGCCGCGUGAGUGAAGAAGUAAUUCGUUAUGUAAAGCUCUAUCAGCAGGGAAGAAAAUGACGGUACCUGAGUAAGAAGCCCCGGCUAACUACGUGCCAGCAGCCGCGGUAAUACGUAGGGGGCAAGCGUUAUCCGGAUUUACUGGGUGGAAAGGGAGCGUAGACGGCAGUGCAAGUCUGGAGUGAAAGGCGGGGGCUCAACCCCCGGACUGCUCUGGAAACUGUACGGCUGGAGUGCAGGAGAGGUAAGUGGAAGUCCUAGUGUAGCGGUGAAAUGCGUAGAUAUUAGGAGGAACACCAGUGGCGAAGGCGGCUUACUGGACUGUAACUGACGUUGAGGCUCGAAAGCGUGGGGAGCAAACAGGAUUAGAUACCCCUGUAGUC
rnacentral:rRNA from 1 species